rnacentral:rRNA from 1 species
CCUACGGUGGGCUGCAGUAGGGAAUAUUGCUCAAUGGGGGCAACCCUGAAGCAGCAACGCCGCGUGGAGGAUGAAGGUUUUCGGAUUGUAAACUCCUUUUGUUACAAAAGAUAAUGACGGUAUCUAACGAAUAAGCACCGGCUAACUCCGUUCCAGCAGCCGCGUUAGUACGGCGGGGGCAAGCGUUACUCGGAAUCACUGGGCGUAAAGAGCGCGUAGGCGGGAUAGCAAGUCAGAUGUGAAAUCCUAUGGCUUAACCAUAGAACUGCAUUUGAAACUGUUAUUCUAGAGUAUGGGAGAGGUAGGUGGAAUUCUUGGUGUAGGGGUAAAAUCCGUAGAGAUCAAGAGGAAUACUCAUUGCGAAGGCGACCUGCUAGACCAUAACUGACGCUGAUGCGCGAAAGCGUGGGGAGCAAACAGGAUUAGAUACCCGGGUAGUC